AUACGUAGGGUGCAAGCGUUAAUCGGAAUUACUGGGCGUAAAGCGUGCGCAGGCGGUUUUGUAAGACAGUGGUGAAGUCCCCGGGCUCAACCUGGGAACUGCCAUUGUGAAUGCAAGGCUGGAGUGCGGCAGAGGGGGAUGGAAUUCCGCGUGUAGCCGUGGAAUGCGCAGAUAUGCGGAGGAACCCCGAUGGCGAAGGCAAUCCCCUGGGCCUGCACUGACGCUCAUGCACGAAAGCGUGGGGAGCAAACAGGAUUAGAUACCCUGGUAGUCCACGCCCUAAACGAUGUCAACUGGUUGUUGGGGAUUUAUUUUCUCAGUAACGAAGCUAACGCGUGAAGUUGACCGCCUGGGGAGUACGGCCGCAAGGUUAAAACUCAAAUGAAUUGGCGGGG
rnacentral:rRNA from 1 species